rnacentral:ncRNA from 1 species
CCCUUUGUACACACCGCCCGUCGCUCCUACCGAUUGAAUGGUCCGGUGAAGUGUUCGGAUCGCGGCGACGGGGGCGGUUCGCCGCCCCCGACGUCGCGAGAAGUCCAUUGAACCUUAUCAUUUAGAGGAAGGAGAAGUCGUAACAAGGUUUCCGUAGGUGAACCUGCGGAAGGAUUAUUG